rnacentral:lncRNA from 1 species
UUCAUUGAUAUACCAAUAAGUUCCUACUUCAUUGUUAUGCAUUGAUGACUCCAAAACACAUCAUUGAUAUGCCAAUGAGUUCUUACUUCAUUGUUAUUGCAUUGAUGGUCUAUUUAUAUGUCUCUUAUUGAUGUAUCAUUAUUUCAAAGUAUCAAAAAUGCGGUGGCGACCGAAAUAACAAUCUCAAAGAUUAAUUGAACUAAGUGAUGGAAGUUCUCUCUUAUCGGGUGGUAUCCCAGGGGCAUAAGCCUAUCAUGGGUCGAUCCCUAUUUAUGUGUUUAUGGGUGGUAUCCCAAGGGCAUAAGCCUAUCAUGGGUUGAUCCCAGUUGAUA